GUUCCAGUGGUGUAGACCGGUCAAGCAUACUGCCCUUUCAAGGCAGUGAUCCCGGGUUCAAAUCCCGGCUGGAGCACCA
rnacentral:tRNA from 14 species